rnacentral:rRNA from 1 species
AACGAACGCUGGCGGCAGGCUUAACACAUGCAAGUCGAACGCACCGCAAGGUGAGUGGCAGACGGGUGAGUAACACGUGGGGAUCUGCCCAAUGGCACGGAAUAGCUCCGGGAAACUGGAAUUAAUACCGUAUGAGCCCGCAAGGGGAAAGAUUUAUCGCCAUUGGAUGAACCCGCGUCGGAUUAGCUAGUUGGUGUGGUAAAGGCGCACCAAGGCGACGAUCCGUAGCUGGUCUGAGAGGAUGAUCAGCCACACUGGGACUGAGACACGGCCCAGACUCCUACGGGAGGCAGCAGUGGGGAAUAUGGGACAAUGGGCGCAAGCCUGAUCCAGCCAUGCCGCGUGAGUGAUGAAGGCCUUAGGGUUGUAAAGCUCUUUCGCCGACGAAGAUAAUGACGGUAGUCAGAGAAGAAGCCCCGGCUAACUUCGUGCCAGCAGCCGCGGUAAUAC